GGCGGCAUAGCCAAGUGGAUAAGGCUUUGGAUUGCAAAUCCUUCACUCUCCAGUUCAAAUCUGGAUGCCGUCU
rnacentral:tRNA from 2 species